UGCUGGCGCAGCUACCAUGCAGUCGAGCGGUAACAGAUCCAGCUUGCUGGAUGCUGACGAGCGGCGGACGGGUGAGUAAUGCAUAGGAAUCUGCCCGAUAGUGGGGGAUAACCUGGGGAAACCCAGGCUAAUACCGCAUACGUCCUACGGGAGAAAGGGGGCUUCGGCUCCCGCUAUCGGAUGAGCCUAUGUCGGAUUAGCUAGUUGGUGAGGUAACGGCUCACCAAGGCCACGAUCCGUAGCUGGUCUGAGAGGAUGAUCAGCCACAUCGGGACUGAGACACGGCCCGAACUCCUACGGGAGGCAGCAGUGGGGAAUAUUGGACAAUGGGGGGAACCCUGAUCCAGCCAUGCCGCGUGUGUGAAGAAGGCCCUCGGGUUGUAAAGCACUUUCAGCGAGGAAGAACGCCUAGCGGUUAAUACCCGCUAGGAAAGACAUCACUCGCAGAAGAAGCACCGGCUAACUCCGUGCCAGCAGCCGCGGUAAUACGGAGGGUGCAAGCGUUAAUCGGAAUUACUGGGCGUAAAGCGCGCGUAGGUGGCUUGAUAAGCCGGUUGUGAAAGCCCCGGGCUCAACCUGGGAACGGCAUCCGGAACUGUCAAGCUAGAGUGCAGGAGAGGAAGGUAGAAUUCCCGGUGUAGCGGUGAAAUGCGUAGAGAUCGGGAGGAAUACCAGUGGCGAAGGCGGCCUUCUGGACUGACACUGACACUGAGGUGCGAAAGCGUGGGUAGCAAACAGGAUUAGAUACCUUGGUAGUC
rnacentral:rRNA from 1 species